UAUACCGUGAAACUGCGAAUGGCUCAUUAAAUCAGUUAUCGUUUAUUUGAUAGUACCUUACUACUUGGAUAACCGUGGUAAUUCUAGAGCUAAUACAUGCUAAAAACCCCGACUUCGGAAGGGGUGUAUUUAUUAGAUAAAAAACCAAUGCCCUUCGGGGCUCCUUGGUGAUUCAUAAUAACUUAACGAAUCGCAUGGCCUUGUGCCGGCGAUGGUUCAUUCAAAUUUCUGCCCUAUCAACUUUCGAUGGUAAGGUAUUGGCUUACCAUGGUUUCAACGGGUAACGGGGAAUUAGGGUUCUAUUCCGGAGAGGGAGCCUGAGAAACGGCUACCACAUCCAAGGAAGGCAGCAGGCGCGCAAAUUACCCAAUCCCGACACGGGGAGGUAGUGACAAUAAAUACUGAUACAGGGCUCUUUUGGGUCUUGUAAUUGGAAUGAGUACAAUUUAAAUCCCUUAACGAGGAACAAUUGGAGGGCAAGUCUGGUGCCAGCAGCCGCGGUAAUUCCAGCUCCAAUAGCGUAUAUUAAAGUUGUUGCAGUUAAAAAGCUCGUAGUUGAAACUUGGGCCUGGCUGGCCCGUCCGCCUCACCGCGUGCACUGGUCCGGCCGGGCCUUUCCUUCUGGGGAGCCGCAUGCCAUUCAUUUGGUGUGUCGGGGAUCCAGGACUUUUACUUUGAAAAAAUUAGAGUGUUCAAAGCAGGCCUAUGCUCGAAUACAUUAGCAUGGAAUAAUAGAAUAGGACGUGUGGUUCUAUUUUGUUGGUUUCUAGGACCGCCGUAAUGAUUAAUAGGGAUAGUCGGGGGCAUCAGUAUUCAAUUGUCAGAGGUGAAAUUCUUGGAUUUAUUGAAGACUAACUACUGCGAAAGCAUUUGCCAAGGAUGUUUUCAUUAAUCAGUGAACGAAAGUUAGGGGAUCGAAGACGAUCAGAUACCGUCGUAGUCUUAACCAUAAACUAUGCCGACUAGGGAUCGGGCGAUGUUAUCUUUUUGACUCGCUCGGCACCUUACGAGAAAUCAAAGUCUUUGGGUUCU
rnacentral:rRNA from 1 species